rnacentral:rRNA from 1 species
AUUGAACGCUGGCGGCAUGCCUUACACAUGCAAGUCGAACGGUAGCAGGGAUUCUGCUGCUGGCGUGUGGGGCGCGGGGGAGUGAAAUGCCUAGAAAUGUGCGUGGGUGGGGGAGAUAACGGCGGGAGACGGGCUAAAAUAGCGCACGCGCUAUGGAGGAGAGAGGGGGGGAUCUUGAGAUCGCACGCUCGCAGCUGAGGCUAGGUCGGAUUAGCUAGUUGGUGGGAUAAAGGCAUACCAAGGCGACGAUCUGUAGCUGGUCUGAGAGGAUGAUCAGCCACACUGGAACUGAGACACGGCCCAGACUCCUACGGGAGGCAGCAGUGGGGAAUAUUGGACAAUGGGCGAAAGCCUGAUCCAGCCAUGCCGCGUGUAUGAAGAAGGUCUUCGGAUUGUAAAGCACUUUUGGUCGGGAGGAAGAGCAGUAAGUUAAUACCGAGCUGUUUUGACGGUACCAAAAGAAUAAGCACCGGCUAACUUCGUG